GAGAAAGAAUUUUAAUUCUUCAUGUAUUUUACUGGAAAAACUGGCUGUUAUUCACAGUGUACCAUUAUCGUCUGUUCAUGUAUGGUAAAACUUAGCACCCCAAAACAACCAGAGUUUACUACUGCCUGGUAACAUUUCACACCUUGGCAUUUUUUGUCAUUGCAAACUGCUCUUAGAGAGGACAAGUGUUGGAUUUUUUUGCCCUGUAUGUAUGUGCCCAGCUAGCUGCCUAUGGGCUAGCAUAGAGAAGCAGAGGUGUGCUGUUCCUCUCUGGUAUCUGACUGGCUGGUUUGUAUGUAAAGCAGCUCAGUAUGAAAAUUUAUAUUGCUGUAAAUUGAUCUGGGGCAUACCUGUACCACACUACCUGUCAGGCUGGAAGAGUCAGCACAGAUCUGAGAAGAGGCCAGCUUGUCUGUGCUGAUGGAGAAAGGUAGCUGAAAAAUGUGGUAGAAAACUUUGGAAAAUGCACUUGUAGCUGAAGACUGAGCAUUAAAACACUUAAAGUAGAGAAAAAGGUAUGGUGUUUUAGGGUGGGCUUUUUGCCCCAUAGUAUAUUAAAACUUUCUUGUUUAUUGAAGUAUGGGAAGAAGUGCAAGGCAGAACUUGGGUGUCAGGCUCAGCAGUGAUUCUCAUAACUUCCUUUCAUGUUUCUCUCCAUGCUUCUGUAUAACUUCAGCAUUUGGGGACGUGAUUUGUGUGCUUGAUAUGCAUCUUAAUUUCUUCAGUAAAUAACCAUGAGCAACAAAAAUCUUUUUUUUUUCUCCCGUUUAUUAGAGAAAGCUAAAUAACUUUGUAGUCAUCCGCCUAUAAUACUGUUGUCAUUGUCUUUGACUGAAUUCUGAGGCAUAAUAUUGUUAUUGUUUCAUUUUUUUUUUCAGUGCAAAGCAGGCAAAUGUGUGUAUCUGAACUACCUUUGUUAAAGUAAUCAAUGAAGUUCAAGAUGAUUUAUGGAAAGCAGUGGGUGACCUCUAUUUGUUGGAAUGUCCUUUGUCAUCCUGAGGCUUGCCAGGCAGUGCUGCUUUACAGCAGUGGGCUGUGAAGAGCAAGGGUGCAUAUAGGGCGGUUCAUGUAGUGCUGAAAUUGAAUGAUGGCAUGAGAAGCUUUUCUAAGUCUAAUACCAGGAUGUAGAGAUUUUUCCCCCUGCAGAUACAAACACUGUUGUCAGAAUACAUCAAGUCUUUGUUACUAUAGAUUUCAGAUGAGUGUUAUAUCAGCUUGAGAAAGUUCUUGAGACUCUCUGCCACUUUCCCUUCUUAUGGUAAAUACAUUACUUCCUUUAAGUUUCUUCAGGAAAGACCUUGUAAGGACUUUUGUGUAUCGGAAGACAGAUGAUUCAUGUCAUAGAUACAGAUUUUGGAACACCUUUAGCAUCUUUUUAGUGACACCUGAGCACAAAGGUUGAUGUUUUUAAGUGGCAGGAU
rnacentral:lncRNA from 1 species